AUUGAACGCUAGCGGGAUGCCUUACACAUGCAAGUCGAACGGAGUGGCGGACGGGUGGGUAAUGUAUGGCAAGGUGCCCAGUAGCGGGGGGUAACUACUCGAAAGCGUAGCUAAUACCGCAUACUAUUGGAGCGGCCGAUAUAGGAUGAGCUAGUUGGUGGGGUAACGGCUCACCCAGGCGACGAUCCGUAGCUGGUGUGAGAGGACGACCAGCCACACGGGGACUGAGACACGGUCCAGACUCCUACGGGAGGCAGCAGUGGGGAAUUUUGGACAAUGGGGGAAACCCUGAUCCAGCCAUCCCGCGUGUGUGAUGAAGGCCUUCGGGUUGUAAAGCACUUUUGGCAGGAAAGCGGUACCUGCAGAAUAAGCACCGGCUAACUACGUGCCAGCCGCCGCGGUAAUUC
rnacentral:rRNA from 1 species